rnacentral:lncRNA from 1 species
UUUUUACCAGGUUUAGGGUGGCUACAGGGAAACUGACAGAACCUGCUCCAACUAAAUGUGUUCUGUGACUAAAUGAGUCCGUCACUCACACAGAAAGUCUGUAGAACUCAGUGCUUUGCGUCAUGUUGUCGUGGCAUCUCUGACGCAGCACAUGGCGUAUAAAGACUGCAUUCAGGCCCAUGCCAAAACAAGGCCUAAGUUCACGAGAAUGAAACUCCGCCUAUCUCCUCAAAAGCCUAAUGGACUUGCAAACUCAAAUUGAACUACAUUUAUAUAAGGUGUGGGAUUAUGAUAGUGCAAUCCAGCCAUCUCCAUGUAGUCUUCCACCACACUUUGAGCACAACUGAGCACAAUGCAGCUGAGAGCAGCAGAGGAUGUGGGUCUCAGCGGGGGCUGGGGAAAGGCAGGCAUGGAUAAGAUCAUAUCACCCAGCUAUCUGACUACAGCAGAGGGGAGCUGCGUUGACAUAUCUGAGAGAGCAGUAGUGAUGUGGGUCCCAGCAGGGGUUAAGGAAAGGAAGGUACGAACGAGUGCCUCUUCCAGAAAGGAAGGAAGUUUCUCCAGCUCUAUCCCAAUGGAUCCAUUGAGAGUUCACAUUGCCUUCAGCCGCAGUGGCCCCCACAAGGCGAUGCGAUGGCUGCCCUUUCUCCCCUGUACACAGCUUUGGCCCCUUCACUGCCCUCCCUCCUGUCAGUGACUGCUCAAGCAGUCAAGCAACGAGCCACCAGCCUGGGGAACUAAAACAUGAAAUUUCAGCACUAAAAUUCAAAAUCCGUUUCCUUUUCUUGCUUUACUAUGAGUAAGCCCCAGCUUAAUGCGCAGCUGUAUGAAUGCUGACACAAGGGAUGAGGUGCCAGAGGAUAAGAAUGAAUGGCUAGGGACUGGAAGGCUCUAGCUGUCUCUAUCAAGGAUGCUCAGUGUGCCUGGGAAACUACAGAUCCCCUGUUCCCCUGCUUCUGUGAGCACAAUGAGCAGGAAGAAGUAUAACUGUGUCUGUGGGUCACAGGAAGAAGCACACUGGCCCUGCAGCUCUCUCCAGCUCUGUUCUGAGCAGCUGAAGCUGACUCAGAGCUCCUGAUGCUGGUACUUAGUUUGUCGUUAGGAGUGGGGGUACAGAUGGAUGGAUGGACACUAUGCAUGGGGCUGAAAUAAUCUUUCCAUGGAUUUUAACCCCAUUAUGAUUUUUUAAGGCCAUGCUAUUGUAAAGAAUC